rnacentral:rRNA from 1 species
GGGUUGUGAGGUUAAGCGACUAAGCGUACACGGUGGAUGCCCUGGCAGUCAGAGGCGAUGAAGGGCGUGCUAAUCUGCGAUAAGCGCCGGUAAGGUGAUAUGAACCGUUAUAACCGGCGAUACCCGAAUGGGGAAACCCAGUGUGAUUCGUCACACUAUCAUUAACUGAAUCCAUAGGUUAAUGAGGCGAACCGGGGGAACUGAAACAUCUAAGUACCCCGAGGAAAAGAAAUCAACCGAGAUUCCCCCAGUAGCGGCGAGCGAACGGGGAGGAGCCCAGAGCCUGAAUCAGCAUGUGUGUUAGUGGAAGCGUCUGGAAAGGCGCGCGAUACAGGGUGACAGCCCCGUACACAAAAGCGCAUGUGCUGUGAGCUCGAUGAGUAGGGCGGGACACGUGGUAUCCUGUCUGAAUAUGGGGGGACCAUCCUCCAAGGCUAAAUACUCCUGACUGACCGAUAGUGAACCAGUACCGUGAGGGAAAGGCGAAAAGAACCCCGGCGAGGGGAGUGAAAAAGAACCUGAAACCGUGUACGUACAAGCAGUGGGAGCACCCUUUGGGUGUGACUGCGUACCUUUUGUAUAAUGGGUCAGCGACUUAUAUUCUGUAGCAAGGUUAACC